CAAGCCUAAUCAGGAAUGGAAUCAAUGAGGAAUAAGUACAUCCAUGGUGAGAUGCAUGUAUAAACCUCUCUUUUGACACGUACAUGUACAUCACGAGCAACUGGGGGAAAUUGUCUUCCAUCUGGCAAAGGACCAAUUUCAAAACGAUUGAGGCAUGCACCGGUGACCUUUAACCCUCAUUGCUCGAUUUAGCUGAAGGCCAUUUUCUUUAGUUUGACGGGCCAAGAGUGUAGGAUUGAUUGGGAAAUGAUCUUGAAAUACAGUGGUGCUGAAAAGUUUGUGAACCCUACCAGAAAAUGCACUCCUUCAUGCUGAGUGUUGAAUGGAGACAACAACACUACAAUGUUUGGUGAGCCCAGAGAAACAAACUUUAUUGAAUGUAAUAUCUUAUCACCUGACUUCAC